rnacentral:rRNA from 1 species
GACGAACGCUGGCGGCGUGCUUAACACAUGCAAGUCGAACGGAAACGCCCUGCUUUUGUGGGGGGCUCGAGUGGCGAACGGGUGAGUAACACGUGAGUAACCGGCCCUUGACUUUGGGAUAACUUCAGGAAACUGGGGCGAAUACCGGAUAGGAGCUCCUGCUGCAUGGUGGGGGUUGGAAAGUUUCGGCGGUUGGGGAUGGACUCGCGGCUUAUCAGCUUGUUGGUGGGGUAGUGGCUUACCAAGGCAUGGACGGGUAGACGGCCUGGGAGGGGAGCCGGCCACGCUGGGCCUGAGAUACGGCCCAGACGCGAAUGUGAGGCAGCGGUGGGGAAUAUUAUACAGUAGGCGGGAGCCUGGUGCGGCAACGCCGCGUGCGGGAAGACGGCCUGGGGGUUGGGAACCGCUUUCGCCUGAUACGAAGCGUGAAUGACGGUACCGGGUGAAGAAGCACCGGCUAACUACGUG